rnacentral:rRNA from 1 species
UGGGGAAUAUUGGACAAUGGGCGAAAGCCUGAUCCAGCCAUGCCGCGUGUGUGAAGAAGGUCUUCGGAUUGUAAAGCACUUUAAGUUGGGAGAAAGGGCAGUAAGUUAAUACCUUGCUGUUUUGACGUUACCGACAGAAUAAGCACCGGCUAACUCUGUGCCAG